UGCCAGACUCCUACGGGAGGCAGCAGUGGGGAAUAUUGCACAAUGGGGGAAACCCUGAUGCAGCGACGCCGCGUGAGCGAUGAAGUAUUUCGGUAUGUAAAGCUCUAUCAGCAGGGAAGAAGAUGACGGUACCUGACUAAGAAGCCCCGGCUAACUACGUGCCAGCAGCCGCGGUAAUACGUAGGGGGCAAGCGUUAUCCGGAUUUACUGGGUGUAAAGGGAGCGUAGACGGCAUGGCAAGUCAGAUGUGAAAGCCCGGGGCUCAACCCCGGGACUGCAUUUGAAACUGUCAGGCUGGAGUGCAGGAGAGGUAAGUGGAAUUCCUAGUGUAGCGGUGAAAUGCGUAGAUAUUAGGAGGAACACCAGUGGCGAAGGCGGCUUACUGGACUGUAACUGACGUUGAGGCUCGAAAGCGUGGGGAGCAAACAGGAUUAGAUACCCCUGUAAA
rnacentral:rRNA from 1 species